UACGUAGGGUGCAGGCGUUAAUCGGAAUUACUGGGCGUAAAGCGUGCGCAGGCGGUCUGCUAAGAGAGGUGUGAAAUCCCCGGGCUUAACCUGGGAACUGCAUUUGAGACUGCAUUGCUAGAGUAUGGGAGAGGGAAGUGGAAUUUCAGGUGUAGCGGUGAAAUGCGUAGAUAUCUGAAGGAACAUCAGUGGCGAAAGCGACUUCCUGGACCAAUACUGACGCUCAUGUGCGAAAGCGUGGGGAGCAAACAGG
rnacentral:rRNA from 1 species